CAUCAUCUUCAUUUUGGUAAAAGUCAGGGUGGAAGCAGGAAUAUUUGCACUUUGAAAAUAUUUUGACACAGAUUUUACUGACUUUGAGAAAUAUAAGCAAACUCUACCCAGAUAUUUCAAAGUUAGAAAAUUUUCAAGAACCGGUUUCAAUACAGUCCUUAAAAGUUCUUCAAUUCCAGCCAGAUUUUUCUUAGUUAGAGUUAUUAGAAAUGAAUAUUGUAAUACACUAAUAGUACAGUUUACAUUGCUGUUAGACAAAAUAAAAAUUUUAAUUCAGAAGAAAAGAUAUUAUAGUAUAUAUUUCUGGAAAGUUUCAGUUGAUUUAUGGUAUACUCCAUUUAACAAAACUUCUUUUCAUUUACUGAAUUAUUCUUUUAUUAUUUUUUUUUGAAAUUAUGUAGAUUAUUUAGCUCAACAUGAUUUAUUGUUAUAUAUAAAAUUGAUAAUUGUUACUACUAAUUGAUUGUUUUUAUAUUUAACUGAUGACAAAAAAUUUAUUAUUUAAUGCAUUUAUUGGUCAGCAAUAAGACACUUAGUAAUGUUCAAGAGUUUUAGUUUUUAUCCACCAUCUCACAAUCUGCACAGAAUCUCCUACCUCUAAGGUCAGCUUACAGUUUAUAUAAACAAACAACCUUCAAGUGGAACUUUAUCCAGUAUUUCAAAAUACUUUAUGUUAAACUGGGCUAUCUGGUAGAUGAAAAUAGAGAAGUUACCACAGAUUGACUGACAGCGGUUUAAAAUGCCGAACAAAUAUCACACCCUGAACAUUAUUUCCAGCAUGGUCAUUUUCUAAAGAAAGAUUGGAGGCUUUAGUUGUGAUUUUAAUUCAAAUAAAUCAACUUACAUUUAUAUAUUAAUACAUAAAUGAGUUUUGUUAAUUACCUAGAAAAUGAGAUUUUAAGAUUUCAACUACCCCAGCUAUACAGAACUUUCUUGGGAAAUUUAUUGUGAAACUUAUAUAUAAAAUGGAGCAUAAUAGAUGUGUUAAACUUCGUUAUUCAAUUUGAAAAAAUGGAGGGAAAUAAGCAGCCAAUUGUAACAGAUCAAUGGUUGAAGCCAAAUAUUUCAGUAACAAUAUGUGACAAGACGAUGAAGAAGAAGAAAAUGGUGUAGUUGGAACAAAAUAAUACAAUAGAGGAAAUAUUACUGAUUGUGUGGUACAGAUACUAUAGUGUGGAAUUAUGUAAUACAGUGUGCAGCUAUCUAGUGGAAAUAUCAAACAAGAAUGACUUUUGAAAUGUAUUUAAUUGUAUGAAAAUCAAAUACAGAUAAGUGAAAAAAAAGAUCUCAAUUAUUAUUUUGUCAAUUAUCAAAAAGAACAGGAACCUGGGCGGAUUUUUAUUUUAAUUUCAGGGUGGGAUUCGCAAAAUUUUGGGGCAGGAUAAUAACAGGAAGAAAAAAGUCUGGCCUGACUUUUUAAAUAGAAAUCAGGGUGAAUUAUGGCUCAUUUAAAUAUUUCAAAUUAAUCCCAGCCUGAAAUUGCUCUUAAUUUAACUAGAAGUAAAUCUAUUUUUAGAAAUCUGUGUGAGUGAAAAUUCUGCCCUGGAUUUCCAUUUCAGGGUGGUAUUUUUUCUGGCUCAUUUAAAUAUUUCGUUGAAUCCACCCUGAAAACACUAUAUAUUGUAUACUAAAAAAUCUAACAAGAGCUGUCGGUAGGACAGCAUGCUCGACUAUUCUUAGUGCUUGAUAGUAAAAAAAAUGCCUGAUACAGUUACCUCCUCCUGUUUACAGGUUGGGGUCAUGAUGGUGAACAAGUGUGCAAAGUUUCAAAGCCAUAUGUCAAUGGACUUUGAAAAUAUUUGAACUAUUACAAAAACUUUAACGUAAAUUCUAAGUCGAAAAAGGGGCAUAAUUCUGUCAAAAUGCUUGAUAGAGUUACCUCCUGCUGUUUACAGGUUGGGGUCAUGAUGUUGAACAAGUGUGCAAAGUUUCAAAGCCAUAUGUCUAUGGACUUUGAAAAUAUUUGAACUAUUACAAAAACUUUAAAGGAAAUUCUAAGUCGAAAAAGGGGCAUAAUUCUGUCAAAAUGCUUGAUAGAGUUACCUCCUCCUGUCUACAGGUUGGGGUCAUGAUGGUGAACAAGUGUGCAAAGUUUCAAAGCCAUAUGUCAAUGGACUUUGAAAAUAUUUGAACUAUUACAAAAACUUUAACGUAAAUUCUAAGUCGAAAAAGGGGCAUAAUUCUGUCAAAAUACUUGAUAGAGUUACCUCCUCCUGUCUACAGGUUGGGGUCAUGAUGGUGAACAAGUGUGCCAAGUUUCAAAGCCAUAUGUCAAUGGACUUUGAAAAUAUUUGAACUAUUACAAAAACUUUAACGUAAAUUCUAAGUCGAAAAAGGGGCAUAAUUCUGUUAAAAUGCUUGAUAGAGUUACCUCCUCCUGUCUACAGGUUGGGGUCAUGAUGGUGAACAAGUGUGCAAAGUUUCAAAGCCAUAUGUCAAUGGACUUUGAAAAUAUUUGAACUAUUACAAAAACUUUAACAUAAGUGGUUACGCCGACGCCGACGCUCGGGUGACUGCAAUAGCUCUACUUAUUCUUAUCGAAUAGUCGAGCUAAAAAUAGAUUUCUGU